rnacentral:lncRNA from 1 species
CGGGACUGGAGGAAGCCACCAACCAACGAAGUACUGGGCCUGUGGGUAUUCGUCUCUCUCCCCGCCCCUGAGAGUCUGGGAAAGGCUGACACGUGGUGCCUUCAGGCUCUGGGGCCUAGGACCUUUGUGGUAGCAGAGUCACUGCAGAGAACCAGACAAUACCAGGUUGCUUAUAAAAGGAUGCCAUGUGCUUGCUGGAGGUCCCAGGUGCAACCAAAUUGCUUGCAGCUAGGAGGACCUUGAAGAGAAAUGGGAUCAGCCCGCCAAACCAAGAAGGGUUAGCACUUUUGCUAGGAGAGCUGACCACGCACAAACAGAUGAGAACCAAAACCGAGUGAAGAGGAUUGAAGAUGAACCCACAUUUUAAAAGUUCUUGUCUGCUGGAGGUGGCAUUACCUGUGACCUCGCUUCACUUCUCCAUACAUGGCUGUUAUAGCAGAAAAUCCAGCUUUCUGAAGCAUAUUUCACGACAUAUGAUGAGACUUAUGUGAUGUGAGACCUGAGAAAACUAUGAUAGAAAGAAGCAACUCAAGUUGCAAGGAUAUUCCUCAUGUAUCAUGCAAGGAUAUUCCUCAUAUAUCAUGUAAGUAAAAAGUCACCAAAUCCUGACAACCUGUCCACAUGUGCCCACACAUGUACAAUUAUAUAAUAAAAAGAGCAGAAUGCAAUAUAACAUUGUGUAUUCUAAGAGAUUUUUCAAGAAGCUGAUAAGAUAUUUGUAAUUUGAGAGUCAACCCAGAACAAAUAUGUGCAGAAGAAAUUGUUGGUGAAAACUUGAUUUGUUGGCUAUUUGAGACCUAAUAUAUUUAUAUAUUUAACUGAUCACAGAAAACAGGUGUAUUCAAGACACCCACAUUUUAAAAAUCCUUAUCUGCUUCAGUGGGCAUUACUUGUGGCCUCACUGCACUUCUUUGUACAAGGCUAAUGUGUCUGGUUAUUUUGUAAACAGGUAUGCUUAAUUUUAGGAAAUGCAAAAAUAUGAGAAGCAACCUUAAAAAUAUUGCAUAUUCCAAGGAGUAGUUAAUGAUGUUUCCAAAGACCUCAAACUGUCCUGAGAAAAGCAUGUCUGACAUACAAG